GCGCGGCCAAAAAAUCACUAAGUGUCGACUUUUGACUCGCAAUUGAUUCAGCUGCUUGCGCGUUUGAGCUUUGCCGCGAAUAGACACACACAAGAUCCGAGGAAACCGAGGAGUCUUUUGUCUUUUUCGAUUUUGUCUGCGUUCUUUCGAGAGGAAGAACGUCGAUAGUCUUUCGUACCUGUUUAGGCGAUUAUCAAAUGUUAUUUUUUUAGAUUCAAACAUUGUAGACGAAAAUUGAAUUUGUUGGAAAACAAAAAUAUAUGUUUUCUAGAGUUUUUACUUUAGUUUCGAUUUGCGAAAAUUUUAUGAUCCUUAUCAAAUGUAGUUUCCUAAAACCGAAGUUUUAAAGGUAGAAGCUAUCGAUAAUUGUGUAUCAUGUAACAAAUAUUUACUUAUUGUUAGCAUGGUACUUACGUAGCUAAUUGUCUUGAUUGUUUUCUUUUGUCCAAUGUGUUUUAUGUUACGUGUGAGAUUGAUGAAAUUUAGAUUCACUGAUCAAACUUAAAAGUGCGAUGUAAAAUUCAUUACAAUAGUUACUUUUUGAUGAGAUGUUAAAAAAAUUAAAGUGGCCAACGUAUCAAAAGAUAGUGACGAUAUUGAAGAAAAGGAAUAAUAGUUUAAAGUAAUAAUUUACUUAGUAAUUCGUUCGAAAAGCAUAUUUUUUUCAUCACAAAGAAGCAAACGUACCUAUAAAUAUCAAUUAUCCGUACUGCCCGGAUAGACGAUCCCGAUUUCUCCACUGCUGCAAACAAAGGGUCAACUUUGUGAAUUUUUUUGUGACAUCUUCGUGGCGAACUAUUAACUGCGUUCUAUCUGCGAUGUGUGACGUCAAAUUCGUCACACACUUUGUCAGAAGGUGUGUCUUUUGUUCCGAUCGAAAAAAAAAUAUGUAUAGCUUUUUCUCGGGAAGAAAAUGUUCUGACACUCUCGUUUAAUGUGACAUACGUGACCCUCUGAAAUUGCGGCGUUUCGAAUCGAGGCGGUAUUGUUGUACGUGCGAGGACGCAUCUUGUUACCUGAGAAUGUACUUAGUCAUGUCAAAAUAAAACAAUAACAUACGCCUGUUUUAAAAUUAAAAUAAAAGUUAAAUAAAAAAACCUUUUUACUAGAAGAGGAUUUUCCGCUCUUAAACGUCACGCGACUCGAGUUGCAAUCUUGUAGAAUAUUGCGUCUUUGUUUUCAUCCAUUUUUCUGUCUUUUCUAUUUUUCUCUCUAUAUCUGCGUUUUCUUUAUAUAUACAUAUAUAUAUAUAUAUAUACACACACACAUAUAUUUCUCUUGUGUUUCUCUUCUGACGAAUAUUCUUUUUGCAUGAAAUUCUGAUGCGUUUAUCGUCGGCGAAAAUAUUUCCGAGACGCAGCGCACGAGCGUUUUCGAUCGAUGUUGACCGUGUGACGAUCUUUUGUAGGUAACAGAGCGCUUUACAACAGCUUCAGUAAAUACAUGAAGAUACGGGAUUUGCGGUUCAACUCGGACACCGGCAAGUUUCACUGUCCCAAUUGCAACAACGGCUACGGCAGACGAGACACCAUGCUCGCUCACUACAGAUACGAGUGCGGCAAAGCGCCCAGAUACAAGUGCCCGUACUGCAACCUCUGCAGCAAGAAGACUUCCAACGUUUAUCAGCACAUCAGAUCUAUGCAUCGCGAGAGACCGGUGACGCUCAUAAAACUCUAUUGAAUUCCCGCAACUCAGGUUAACUAUUAUUGCUUUUGAAAAUAUCGGAUAAACAACGUGAAGGAAACUAACAAGAACAAAGACGGACAUAAAACGUUAAAACUCCUUCCGUUCCGCUAUUUGCCGAGAAACGGACUGCAUCUAACGUCUCAGGGAAAUUUCACUAACACGUUUGCGUGAUUCUUUGAGUUGUUUGAAAAUUUUGAUUUUUCAAAAAUCGAUUACUUCGUCACUAUAGUUUUACGUUAUACUAUACUACGUUAUAGUAUAUUUAUCCACGGCGUUUUUGUCAUUAGCGUUGUAUAUUCUGCGAUGACGUUCUAUUAGUUUUAAUAUUUAUUUAUUAUUACUAAAUGUAACAAUUUUAUACAUAUAGAAACAUAGAUCGAAGUUUAUCAGAUAAUAAGAAUCCUAAUAAGUUUUUUCGUGCUUUUUGCAAGAUUAUUGUACAUAGAUCAUCUAUUAUUAUACAUCAUGUAAAAAAUAAAGAACGCACGAAGAGAAUCUCUCUAUCUUUUAUUUACGAUAAUGCUGCGUGUUACACGUGACAUACAUAUUUGCAGAUAUGUUUAUUAUAGGUUUUUUUUUUUCUAGAGGGGUCACAAUUUCUUACAUUAUCUCUCGUCAAUUCUCAUUCCGUCCUUCCCUAGAAUUUUUGUCAAGGUUGGAAUCACCGAGAAGUGAUUUUUACUUAAAAAUUGAAAAAAAAAAAACAUCUUAAGAAAUUAAAUUUUAUUUGUUUUAACAUGUACAGAGGGGAGGUAAAUUUCUUUCACCAAAGAUCGUAUCACAAAAAUUAAUUGUCAAAUCGAGCGCCGAUGUGGAACAAUCGAAUUGUGAAUAAAUCUUGUUAGAUUUUUUUCAGGCGAUCUAUAGCUACGUGUAUAGGAAGGCCUAUCAUUAUACUAACACGACGAAGAAGUCAUCGCCAGCAUCAGAAACACGCUGACUACAUCCGUUGUGUGGUAAUUAAAACACAUGUUAGGCAAACACAUAAGAAUUAAUUCACAAUAUUAAUAUUAUAAUUUUAAUGCCGAAAAACAGUUCUCGCGCGAGAAAUAUUCAGGUUACUCAAGAGAGAAACGCGCAGCUCACUCUCGUAUCAACUUGCAACAGGUGCUGCUGUAUUUAAGUUUUUGUCUUCUCACACACGAUCCUUUUUCUUGUUUUUUUUUCUUUUGUUUUUUCAUUAUUAGCCGUAUUAUUAGUAACCGUAUCAGUAGCCGUGUGCGAACGUGCCGACAAUGAUUAACACGAGAUGACAUCGGUUUCAGAAUUACGGAGCGACGUACCGGCAAUGGACAAGCAAUCUCACAAUCAGAUGAUGUCGCGACGAUCGCAACAGCAACAGCAGCAGCAGCAGCAGCCGCAACAACGGCAGCAUCGAUUACGCAAGGCAGUGGAGACCGCGAUGGUUUCGUCCAUCCGGCAUCAGUGUCCAAAGUGCGAGAAAUCCUUCUCGCAAAGCUACUCGAUGUACCGGCAUUAUAAAUACGAGUGCGACUCGUUGCCGCGUUAUCAGUGUCCUUAUUGUGGCCACGUGAGCAAAUGGUCCCACUCAAUCUACAAUCACAUCCGGAAACUCCAUCCGGGACAGCAGGUCACGGUGAACAAGCUCUAUUAGUCCUGUGGCAAUUGCUCGUACUUUAGGCCUAUCGUUCUGGAGAAGCAUCCCACGCGAAACUCCUGGCACUUGCUCAAACUUCAGACCGCCUUGAACCGGCGCGGUUUUCCAUGUCCUAAGUGCGCGCGCGUUUUCCACACUUCGGGCGGUAUGAGCCGUCAUUACAGGCUGGAGUGCGUCGAUCUGCCACGCUUCAAGUGUCCACACUGCGACAUGCGUAGCAAGUACACCCAAGCAGUAUACCGGCACAUCCGAGUGAAACAUCAGAACAUGGAAAGGCGAUUCGUCAAGCUAUAUUAAAAAUACGAGGUCGAAAAGACUGAGAUUCAACAAGAGAUAAACAUAUACACUCUACAUUACAUCCACAGUUUACGUCACAGACUUUUAUAAGAUUAAAAUAUUAGACACAAAGAGUGCAACGAUUCGCUUAAAAAUCAUUGAAAAAUUUUACAGGCAAAUACGAUAAAAAAUUGUAAAAUAAUAUGUAUUAUUUCUGUAAAA